UUUGGACCCACCUGACUCCAUUCCGAACUCAGAAGUGAAACGAAAUAGCGCCGAUGGUAGUGUGGGGUUUCCCCAUGUGAGAGUAGGACAUCGCCAGGC
rnacentral:rRNA from 1 species